UUUGGAUCGAUGAUGCUGUUGAAGAAUACUGCGUUAUCUUCCUGAUCAACUUCCUGAUGACACCAUUAUCUCGCUGAGAUCCAUG